GCAUAUCAAUAAGCGGAGGAAAAGAAACUAACAAGGAUUCCCUUAGUAACGGCGAGUGAAGAGGGAAGAGCUCAAAUUUUAAAUCUAUCAUGUUGUACAUGAUCGAGUUGUAAUUUGGAGAAGCGUUUUCUCGUACUUUAUGAUCAGUAUAAGUUCUCUUGGAACAGGACAUCAUAGAGGGUGAUAAUCCCGUCUGUUACUGAUUGUGAGGUUCGUUUAUGAUACGCUUUCAAAGAGUCGAGUUGUUUGGGAUUGCAGCUCCAAAUGGGUGGUAAACAUCACCUAAGGCUAAAUAUUUGCGAGAGACCGAUAGCGAACAAGUACCGUGAGGGAAAGAUGAAAAGAACUUUGAAAAGAGAGUUAAAAAGUAUGUGAAAUUGUUGAAAGGGAAACGAUUGAAGUCAGUCGUGCAGUCAUCAAUUCAGCGGUUAACAUUUUAUGUUUCCGUGUAAUUUGGUGUCUGUUGGUUAGCAUCAAUUUUGAUUGUUAUAAAAAGGUUAAGGGGAUGUGGCUCCUUCGGGAGUGUUAUAACCCUUAGCGUAAUGUGACGAUUAGGAUUGAGGUUUGCAACGAAUACCUUUUAGGGCAGUUUCACCUGGCCUCUCGUGGAAUUAUAGAUAGUUAAGAGCAUGCUCUUACUGUCUAUGAUUCUACGAAAAGGUUGGAGUGUAAAACUAAUUCGUUAAGGAUGUUGACGUA
rnacentral:rRNA from 1 species